UUAUUUACGACCUUACGAACCAAAGUAGAUCAGGUGUAAAAUUUUAUAUCGAUUUCAACUUACUUCAGUGGGUAAUGUGCUAUCCUUUUGAGCAAAGAUAAAGGUCACGUUCUUUGUGAACGCCCAAUUGCUGCGAACGUAAGGAAAAUUUUACAGGCUCGACAUUCCUUUUUAAUUAUUUCUUCGCUAAUAAGAUACGUGCGAAGCAUUCUUCGAUAUCAACACGUCAUAAGUAUGUGGCCGUCGGUGGAAGAGAUAUGUAUAAUGCUUAUGAUGAAAUCAUCAAAGUUUGCUUGUAUGAUUCAACAACCGAAAUAGCCAUCGGUGACAUAUAACGGAAUAUACUGAGUAAAGGAUAUUUUCUAGAAUUGUAUCAUUAAAUUCAGGAUUCUUCCUUUCUUUGCAAUAUACUUGAAAAAAUUGUUUACAGUAUACAGUUUGGUAAAUUGGGAUUUUAGAAAUACGCGAUUUUCUACUUUUCACGUGAUGCACAUAUAUUACAAAGAAAUCUCAUAUGCCAAUCAUAUAAAUGACUUCUGCAGACCGAGAUUCCAGCUACUAACUACGUACAUAUACGUGCGACUAGAUCAACGUGUGUCAUCAUGUAACGUAUUAAUUUACAAUCUCGUCGUAUCUCUUCAACCAACAAAGCAUGAUAAUAAUAGCGCUGGAAAGUAGCAUUACUUAUAAAGAUAAUCAUUGUUGACAAAUCAAAGAUACAAUGAGCAAAAAUCGCUCUACGAUUAAAGUAUCGCGACUUUCUGUUGCGUGUUGAGGCAAAUGAAAUUCAGAAUGUCACGCAACAGAGUAAAAUUUCGCUGUCGCGCACAGAUUAAUCGAAAAAAAAGGUGAAAUUCUCUUCGUCCCUUUUAAAGUAUGAAUAUGCAUUCGUGAAAUGUUUCAAGUCUCCUGCGAUUAAAUAAAUAGAAUUAUGUAUUUACGAUUUAACGAGAUUGCUCUUGAGAUAUAUUUUUCUUUACUAUAAGAAUUCUUUUUAGCAAGUGGUCGCAAACAAUCACGAUGACAGAGAGGGCUUUUACGAGUCACACGAAUGUAAUUAAUAAGACAGGUCGUUAAAUUUUUAAUUAAAAGCUGGACGGCCGUUAAUAGAAGGAAUUAUACGUUUCUCGCUAUCAAUCUUCUCUUCGUACUCGUAUGUAAAGAAGUUACCUACGUUUUACAACAUUUGCUGCUGCUUGCAGUCACGGCCAGCGUAUAAUCGAUCAAAGGCGGGUAUUAAGUUCGCUUUUUUAUUUUUUUAUGUGUUACGAUAACGAUUCGUGCGACAGGUUGUUACGUAUCAAAAUCGAGCGAUAAAUGUAGACGACUGUUUAUUCGCGGGAAAACGUAUCACGAAAACGACACCUUAUCGUUUUGGAAAAUUUCUUUUCGAUUUAGGAUGGUCAAAAGGUGAACAUCCUUUUCUACCAACUAAAAUUUCUUUCUGACGUUACGCCAUCAUUUUUCAUCGAGGGAGGUUCAUCUAAAAAUUAUAAGAAAGAGAUAAGACAAAGAAUUUGUCACAAUUUUUUAAUUAAAGGAAAUAGCUUCCCCGAGUGCAGAUGUUUAAAUAUCCAACGCAGAAAGCUGACGAUUAUCCACAAUAUUUAUAACUUAUACGUACAAGGAUUUUAUUGAAAUUGGAGUGUAAUAAUAGUCGUUAAAUCCACAUAACCAGAAACAAAUUGUGCAAUAGUAAUUGAGAAUUCAGUGUGUACACGAUUCGGUUUGCAGGAGAGGGAAGGGGCUGAGAGGAUCGAGGUAAUUAUCAAUUUCCGGUCUAUCUUUUGGAAAUUAACUCGUUCAAUCAGGGUUCGGUCACUGGAACAACUUUCGAUCGUCAUGAUGUGAAACUCUGCCAUUGAAGAUGAUUCCAUAGUAUGUAAAUGCAUAGCAUUACGAAAAGGGAUUUCGUCCUACAAAAGUAAAAGCGAAUACAACGAGAUUGUUAAGAAACGCGAUCACUCGAUAAAGUGAAGGAAGUCUCUCUGUGGAAAUGCGUCGGUUGAAUAGCUGGUUAUUAGUCAACGUCGGCUUUUCUGGAAUCGAAGAUAUCAUGGAAAGCAUUUGCAUCCGCAAUCAGAAAAAUAUGAAACCAAUGCAGUCUUUGA